AAGAAAGUGACUGCCGCCCCGCACAGGGGCGAAGCUAAUAAACCAAUAGCAAAACAAGUUUCAUAGGAGCACAAGCGCAUCAGACGGUGUAAACACAACACGACCAACCCCCGUCCAAGCGCCAGCGACAU
rfam:Burkholderia glathei strain DSM 50014 contig7, whole genome shotgun sequence.